UCUAUUGGAUGAGCAAAGAAAGUGAUUUCUUGAGAUGGAAUCUACUCCUGGUGAAUAUUUUUGGAA
rnacentral:pre_miRNA from 1 species